GAUGAACGCUAGCGGCAGGCUUAACACAUGCAAGUCGAGGGGUAGAAGCAGCUUGCUGCUUUGAGACCGGCGCACGGGUGCGUAACGCGUAUGCAAUCUACCUUUUACAGAGGGAUAGCCCAGAGAAAUUUGGAUUAAUACCUCAUAGUAUGUGAGAAUCGCAUGGUUUUCACAUUAAAGUUCCAACGGUAAAGAUGAGCAUGCGUCCCAUUAGCUAGAUGGUAAGGUAACGGCUUACCAUGGCGACGAUGGGUAGGGGUCCUGAGAGGGAGAUCCCCCACACUGGUACUGAGACACGGACCAGACUCCUACGGGAGGCAGCAGUGAGGAAUUUUCCGCAAUGGGCGAAAGCCUGACGGAGCAAUACCGCGUGAGGGAAGAAUGCCUAUGGGUUGUAAACCUCUUUUUUCAGGGAGGAAUAAAAUGACGUGUACCUGAAGAAUAAGCAUCGGCUAACUCCGUG
rnacentral:rRNA from 1 species